rnacentral:tRNA from 1 species
UAGACUGAAGCCAAAUAGAGGCUUUUAACUGUUAAUUAAAGAAUUGUUUUAUAAACCUGUCUAG